CUUUUGACAACAUAGAUGUUGUAAUCAUGAAGUUGCUUUAUGAUCUUUAUUUGCUUGGAAGUAUAAUGUUGUUCUCAGGCUCCCAAAUCUAAAAUAUCUCUAAUAACAAAAAUGCAUUUGUCAGCAGUGUUGUCUCCCUUGAAACAGCUCAAGAAGCAGCUUCUUUUCUAUGUGUUUUAUAAAAUGUUCCAUCUGGAUUUCAUGAACAGAAAGGUCCACUCCAGCCACAAAACUGGAUAGAUAAGCAGCCUUCAUUUGAUGCUGGUGUUUCACAGGUAUUUUCUUUCUUUCUUUUUUGAAACAGAACCUCGCUCUGCUGCCCAGGCUGGAGUGCAGUGGCAUGAUCUCGGCUCACUGCAACCUCCACCUCCCUGGUUCAAGCAAUUCUCCUGCCUCAGUCUUCCGAGUAGCUGGGAUUACAGGCGUGUGCCACCAUGGCCAGCUAAUUUUCUGUAUUUUUAGUAGAAACAGGGUUUCACCAUGUUGGCCAGGCUGGUCUCGAACUCCCGACCUCAAGUGAUCCACCCACCUCGGCCUCCCAAAGUGCUGGGAUUGCAGGCGUGAGCCACCGCGCCCAGCCUCACAGGUACUUUCUAAUCAAAGUUAAAAGAACUGGCAAAAUAAAUAAAAUAAAAUAUUCUGUCUGAUUAAUAUACUGCUCAGUUUCCCAGAAUCUCAAAUAUCAUCCACCUCAGCUUCUUGUACUGAAAUGACAACACCUGCAUCUUAAGGGAAUGCCAUUGUUGUAUAUGCCAUUAUUAUUUUCUAAAAGGCUUAUGCUUUGUUAUUUUCAGUGACUUUGGUCUUCUGUGUCAUUAAAUACACAACUACUUGAGCAAUUUGUUACUGGCUAAGAAAGUAUUCCUUGCCCCUUUUAGCCUGUCUUUUUCCCAUAUCCAAUGUAAUGUUCCACACACUCAAUUCUGCUGCUUCUUUCUUCUUAUUUUGAUUUACAGACAAUCUUAGGAUCAACUUUUAUUUAUUUUCUUCUUUAUUGUAUAAAUUUAAAAUGUACAACAG
rnacentral:lncRNA from 1 species